AGGGAUGUGGCUUAGUGGAAAAAUCUCUGCUUUGCAUGCAGAAGGUCCCAGGAUCAAUCCCCUGUACCUCUA
rnacentral:tRNA from 1 species